rnacentral:rRNA from 1 species
AUUGAACGCUGGCGGCGGGCCUAAUACAUGCAAGUCGAACGGGAGGCGGACGGGUGAGUCAUGUCUGAGCAACUGCCCGAUGGCGGGGGAAAACUACGGGAAACGGUAGCAACGACCGCUAAACUUUCUUUGGGCCCUGACGGGAUUAGCGAGUAGGGGGGGUAACGGUGCACCUAGGCGACAAUCCCUAGCUGGUCUGAGAGGCUGACCAGCAACACUGGAACUGAGACACGGUCCAGACUCCGGCGGGAGGCAGCAGUGGGGAAGAUUAGACAAUGGGCGCAAGCCUGAUGGAGCCAUGCCGCGUGUGUGAAGAAGGCUUUCGGGUUGUAAAGUACUGUCAGCGAGGAGGCGGUACUCGCAGAGGAAGCACCGGCUAACUCCGUGCCAGCAGCCGCGGUAAUAC